UAUACCCGUUUCACAUUUUAGUCUGGCAAAAAUCAUUAUAUCAUCAAAACCAAGUGUGUUGCACGGCGAUCAGUGUAAUCAAGUUGAUUUAGUACAGAAUUUUUUGCUACAGACGAUUCAGGGCUUCAUGAAGAUGUGGAGUACCAAAGGCUAGAGGCUAAUUCCAUGACAAGAUGAUCCAGCCAACGAGCCUCGCCGUUACAAUUGGACGCAGAAGAUACUAAAGAUGUUAAAGGGAAAUACUUCUUCCUCAAAGGGAUUGCAUGAUCAGAUUGACAUUGCUGAUCCUCAGUUAACAGCUAUAUGAACUUUUAUUGCUUUAUCAACAUACAUGCACCAUGUCUAUUAACAAGGUCAGAAAUGCCAAGGGGAUCUCAAGUGAAGGAUCCUUGGCAUCAAAACUAAGGCACAAAUGUUGUUAAUUGUUUGAAAGUGAGGGAAGUGCAGUAUAGAUGUUGUAACUGUUGUACAUGUAAAUUGGGAACUAACAAUGUAAAAGUAUUCUGUUAUGAAUUAUUUAGAAUAUGAUUUGAUGUA